rnacentral:rRNA from 1 species
UACGAAGGGGGGCUAGCGUUGCUCGGAAUCACUGGGCGUAAAGCGCACGUAGGCGGAUUGUUAAGUCAGGGGUGAAAUCCUGGAGCUCAACUCCAGAACUGCCUUUGAUACUGGCGAUCUUGAGUCCGGGAGAGGUGAGUGGGACUGCGAGUGUAGAGGUGAAAUUCGUAGAUAUUCGCAAGAACACCAGUGGCGAAGGCAGCUCGCUGGGACGUUACUGACGCUGAGACGCGAAAGCGUGGGGAGCAAACAGG